rnacentral:rRNA from 1 species
GACGAACGCUGGCGGCGUGCUUAACACAUGCAAGUCGAACGGAAAGGCCCUGCUUUUGUGGGGUGCUCGAGUGGCGAACGGGUGAGUAACACGUGAGUAACCUGCCCUUGACUUUGGGAUAACUUCAGGAAACUGGGGCUAAUACCGGAUAGGAGCUCCUGCUGCAUGGUGGGGGUUGGAAAGUUUCGGCGGUUGGGGAUGGUCUCGCGGGUUAUCCGCUUGUUGGUGGGGUAGUGGCUUACCAAGGCUUUGACGGGUAGCCGGCCUGAGAGGGUGACCGGCCACAUUGGGACUGGGAUGCGGCCCAGACUCCUACGGGAGGCAGCAGUGGGAAAUAUUCCACAAUGGGCGGAAGCCUGAUGCAGCAACGCCGGGUGCGGGAUGACGGCCUUCGGGUUGUAAACCGCUUUCGCCUGUGACGAAGCGUGAGUGACGGUAAUGGGCAAAGAAGCACCGGCUAACUACGU